CCGAGUCUUAACUGGGCGUUCAGUCUCUGGAUAUAGACCCGAAACCAGGUGAUCUAGCCAUGGGCAGGUUGAAGGUUGAGUAACAUCAACUGGAGGACCGAACCGACUAAUGUUGAAAAAUUAGCGGAUGACUUGUGGCUAGGGGUGAAAGGCCAAUCAAACCUGGAGAUAGCUGGUUCUCCCCGAAAGCUAUUUAGGUAGCGCCUCGGACGAAUACUACUGGGGGUAGAGCACUGUUAAGGCUAGGGGGUCAUCCCGACUUACCAACCCUUUGCAAACUCCGAAUACCAGUAAGUACUAUCCGGGAGACACACGGCGGGUGCUAACGUCCGUCGUGGAGAGGGAAACAACCCAGACCGCCAGCUAAGGUCCCAAAUUACUACUAAGUGGGAAACGAUGUGGGAAGGCUCAGACAGCCAGGAUGUUGGCUUAGAAGCAGCCAUCAUUUAAAGAAAGCGUAAUAGCUCACUGGUCGAGUCGGCCUGCGCGGAAGAUGUAACGGGGCUAAGUA
rnacentral:rRNA from 1 species